rnacentral:rRNA from 1 species
UACGGAGGGUGCAGGCGUUGCUCGGAAUUAUUGGGCGUAAAGGGUAGGUAGGUGGUCUCAUUUGUCUGGGGUGAAAGCCUUGAGCUUAACUCAAGAAGUGCCCCAGAAACGGUGAGACUGGAGUCCUGGAGAGGGUCGUGGAAUUCCCGGUGUAGCGGUGAAAUGCGUAGAGAUCGGGAGGAACACCAGAGGCGAAAGCGGCGACCUGGACAGGUACUGACACUCAACUACGAAAGCGUGGGGAGCAAACAGG